UCUGCUUGUGGUGGAAACAUAAAGGCCUCC
rnacentral:piRNA from 1 species